AUACCUUUCUCGGCCUUUUGGCUAAGAUCAAGUAUAGUAUCUGAUAAAUGGGAACCUACGGGUUCCCAGGGUGAACCUCUAUAGGUCUUACCUAUAUGUUUGCCCUCUGAUAUUAAUUUUUUUAUAGGGAAAGGACCCUUAAAUAGUAGCUUGCUACUUGGGGUUCCUUUUGUGUCACCCUUGUUUUGCACUUCCGUGAGGGGCACAACCGCCA
rnacentral:snRNA from 1 species